rfam:Penicillium solitum strain IBT 29525 PENSOL_contig003, whole genome shotgun sequence.
GCUCGCAUGGCUUAGUGGUAAAGCGCAUGACUUGUAUAUUCCCAUUAGGGAUGAUGAGAUCAUGAGAUCCCUGGUUCGAUCCCGGGUGUGAGCU